rnacentral:rRNA from 1 species
UACGUAGGGUGCGAGCGUUAAUCGGAAUUACUGGGCGUAAAGCGUGCGCAGGCGGUUUUGCAAGCCGGAUGUGAAAUCCCCGGGCUAACCUGGGAAUGGCAUUUGGGACUGCAAGGCUGGAGUGCGGCAGAGGAGACUGGAAUUCCUGGUGUAGCAGUGAAAUGCGUAGAUAUCAGGAGGAACACCGAUGGCGAAGGCAGGUCUCUGGGCUGACACUGACGCUCAUGCACGAAAGCGUGGGGAGCAAACAGG